AGUAGUUUACUACUUGGCGGCGAGCGGCGGACGGCUGAGUAACGCGUGGGAACAUGCCCCAAAGUGAGGAAUAACUGCCCGAAAGGGUAGCUAAUACCGCAUAUGAUCUUCGGAUUAAAGGAUUUAUCCGCUUUGGGAGUGGCCUGCGUACGAUUAGAUAGUUGGUGAGGUAAUGGCUCACCAAGUCGACGAUCGUUAACUGGUUUGAGAGGAUAAUCAGUCAGACUGGAACUGAGACACGGUCCAGACUCCUACGGGAGGCAGCAGUGAGGAAUCUUCCACAAUGGGCGAAAGCCUNGAUGGAGCAACUCCGCGUGCAGGAUGAAGGCCUUCGGGUUGUAAACUGCUUUUAUGAGUNAAGAAUAUGACGGUAACUCAUGAAUAAGGGUCGGCUAACUACGUGCCAGCAGCCGCGGUCAUACGUAGGACCCAAGCGUUAUCCGGAGUGACUGGGCGUAAAGAGUUGCGUAGGUGGUUUGUUAAGUGAAUAGUGAAAGCUAGCGGCUCAACCGUAUAGAUUAUUAUUCAUACUGGCAAACUCGAGAACAGCAGAGGUAACUGGAAUUUCUGAAGUAGGGGUAAUAUCCGUAGAUAUCAGAAGGAACACCAAUGGCGUAGGCAGGUUACUGGGCUGUUUCUGACACUGAGGCACGAAAGCGUGGGGAGCGAACCGGAUUAGAUACCCGGGUAGUCCACGCCGUAAACGAUGGAUACUAGCUGUUGGAGGUAUCGACCCCUUCAGUAGCGAACGUAACGCGUUAAGUAUCCCGCCUGUGGAGUACGGUCGCAAGACUAAAACAUAAAGGAAUUGACGGGGACCGCACAAGCGGUGGAUCAUGUUCUUUAAUUCGAUGAUAAACGAAGAACCUUACCAGGGCUUGACAUCCAGGGAAGCACUACGAAAGUAGCGUGUGCCUUUUGGAACCCUGUGACAGAUGUUGCAUGGCCGUCGUCAGCUCGUGUCGUGAGAUGUUUGGUUAAGUCCAUCAACGAGCGCAACCCUUGUGAAUAGUUGUAUUUUUCUAUUCAGACUGCCCCGGUAACGGGGAGGAAGGAGGGGAUGACGUCAGGUCAGUAUUACUCUUACGUCCUGGGCUAGAAACGUGAUACAAUGGCCGGUACAAUGCGCCGCGAAGCCGCGAGGUGAAGCAAAUCGCAUCAAAGCCGGUCCCAGUUCGGAUUGGGGGCUGAAACUCGCCUCCAUGAAGUCGGAAUCGCUAGUAAUCGCAGGUCAGCAAACUGCGGUGAAUACGUUCCCGGGUCUUGUACACACCGCCCGUC
rnacentral:rRNA from 1 species